rnacentral:tRNA from 1 species
GGCAAUGUGGCUCACUGGCAGAGCAUUUGCCUAGCAUGUUCAAUGCCCUGAGUUCAAUCCCCAGCACUGCCA